UACGUAGGCAGCAAGCGUUGUUCGGAGUUACUGGGCGUAAAGGGUGUGUAGGCGGUCGGAUAAGUGUGGUGUGAAAUCUCCCGGCUCAACUGGGAGGGUGCGCUACAAACUGUCUGGCUAGAGUGCGGGAUGGGAAAGUGGAACUGCGAGUGUAGAGGUGAAAUUCGUAGAUAUUCGCAAGAACACCAGUGGCGAAGGCGGGUAGCUGGGCCGACACUGACGCUGAGGCGCGAAAGCCAGGGGAGCGAACGGG
rnacentral:rRNA from 1 species